AAAGUUUCAUGAGCCUUAUCACUUAGAGGAAAGAGAAGUCGUAACAAGGUUUCCGUAGGUGAACCUGCGGAAGGAUCAUUC
rnacentral:rRNA from 1 species